UAUCACUCCCAAACCCCCUGUGAACCUUUCUCAGUUGCCUCGGCGGGACCGCCCCGGCGCCCUCGCGGGCCGGACCCAGGCGCCCGCCGGAGGACCCCAGACUCUCCUGUCGCAGUGGCAUUUCUCUCCGAGUCUUAUACAAGCAAAUGAAUCAAAACUUUCAACAACGGAUCUCUUGGUUCUGGCAUCGAUGAAGAACGCAGCGAAAUGCGAUAAGUAAUGUGAAUUGCAGAAUUCAGUGAAUCAUCGAAUCUUUGAACGCACAUUGCGCCCGCCAGUACUCUGGCGGGCAUGCCUGUCCGAGCGUCAUUUCAACCCUCGAGCCCCACCGCCCCCGGGCGGCGGCUCGGUGUUGGGGGUUCACGGCCCUGCGCCGCCCCCGAAAUGCAGUGGCGACCCCGCCGCGUCCUCCCCUGCGCAGUAGCUCCCAGAGAACCUCGCACCGGAAGCGCGGAGGCGGUCACGCCGUAAAACAGCCAACUCCUAGAAGUUGACCUCGGAUCAGGUAGGGAUACCCGCUGAACUUAAGCAUAUCAUAAGGGGGGAAGGAA
rnacentral:rRNA from 1 species